GCGCACGAGACCGUCGAAUGGGCGGACGGAGCCACCUAUCCGGUGGUCGACGUCGAGAUCUCCUCGGCGAGCCACCCGUUCUACACCGGCCGCUCGCGC
rnacentral:tRNA from 2 species